CCCCACCCCACUCACCCCCCGGCUGUGGAGCUUCCUUUGCGCCGCCAGCCGCUCCUUGAACUGCCGCCAGUACAGCACCUCCAGGAUCCCACGGGAAUCACUCACAGGCUGCCGAGAACCAUCUCGUGAAAUCCUGGAGCUUCCUCGGGCCCCUCCUCUUCCUCUUGCCUCCAACCGUGUCAUCCAGGCCGUGUGGCACCAGGAAGGGCCUCCCUGCAGGUGGCACAGCAGACUGCUGGUCCCUCCUCAUGUCCACGCUGGCCUGGCUGGUUUCUGGGAUGUCAUCCAGGGACAGGAACUGCAGGAAAGCCCCCCCCAGUGUCACCCCAGCUGGCAGGGACACCGGGAGCCCCCCCUGGAGCAGGACACGGAGCACAGACCCCGCCUCACCUCCUCCUGCUUGUCCGUGAAGGUGGCGUCGGCAUCGCGGCCGUCGGGGCCCAGGGAAGUGGGGAGCUUCUCCCUCCUAGGGAAAAACAGAGCUCAGGAUCCAUGGGAAGGGUGGGAAAGGGUCCCUCCAGCCCUGCUGUGGCCCCUCCAGGUGGGAAAAUCCCAAAAAACAACGGGGUUUUUCCCCUCUUGUUCGCGUCGGUGUGAAAGUCCAAAGGAGCUGGCAGCACACUCCGCAGGGAUUUUCCUUUUGGAAAAGGCUCCCUGAGGCUCCUUUGGACUCCUAAAUCACCAUGAACCAGAAGGAAAGCCAUCCCUGGUUUCGUGUGUUAUCCCUGUGAUGGCAUUGCUAAGCCUGGGAUGCACCUCCCAGGGCAGGGAUGGGAAUGGGCAUGGCCCAGCACCAGGACAGACCCAGAGCAGGGAUUCUGCAGGACAAACUCCCCUCCGGGAAGGGAAAAUCCCACUCACUUUUUGUUGGAGAUGCAGUCCAGUGUCUGGCAGACCAGCAUGUACAGCCAUUCCACGGCCAGAUUUGGGGAAAUCCCUAAAUUUGGAGCAGCCUGGGACAGCAGAAGGUGCCCCUGCCCACUGGAUGGGCUUUGAGGUCCCCUCCCACCCGAACCAUUCCAGGACUUUGUGCUCGAAACGAACCAACAUCCCACGAUUUUGCGGCGAAAUGGGAUUUUUAUAUCCCACCCCGGAGAACAGCAAAACUCCUGCUCUCCCCCGGGGCUGCCAACACCUACAACGGGAUCAAAUUUAGGAAGAAAACUAGGAGAAAUUCAGGGGGAAACUGGAGACAACGAGCUGAGAUCCCUUCGUUCCCAUGAAGGAAGUCUUUGUUCCCAUGAAGGAUUUGAAGCCGAGGGGGAAUCCCGGGGUGAGCCCAGGGCCUCGGGGGGGCUCAGGGAACGGGAUGGGGACGGGGCAGGGCCCAGCUGUGUGCUCACCUUCCUGCUGUAGAUGCAGGCAGAGCCCUGGAUCAGCAGCGCUGCCUCCAUGAAGUUCAUGGUGGUUUUGCCGUUGUCGAAGGAAAUGCAGACCUGGUCCAGCUGGCAGGGGCAGGGCUGGGUUUUUACUUCAGCUUUUAGAAACGGGGUGACUGAGAGGUGUUUUAACAGAUUUUUGUCCCGUUGUCAGCCUCGAUGCAGGGUGAGGCAGAUGGAAAACUCAGCGCUGUUCUAUUCGAAGCUGACUUAUUUUAUGGUUACAAUAUAAUAAAUGCUUAUGUAUUUCUUUAUAAAUGUUUUUUCAGCCUACUGGCUUCUGCCACACGAUGCUGCUGCUACUUCUAACACUAAUCACUUCCAUUUUUAAUCCACAAAGCACCUUCCACAGUUUUAAUUCCCUAAAAUGAAAUUUUUAAUUAAACUAAAAUUUUAA